AACCAUGAACAUGAUGUGCCUGGAAGUAGAUCUUUUUAUGAUGGUAAUGACUCGGAUGGUGAAUGCGGUGGCCCAGCUGAGACAACAUUUUAUGUUCCUGCUGAAAAAGAGCUAAAUUCUGGUAUUCAGAUGAUUAUGGAAUGUUUCUUUUCUGCGUAGCGGACACCGAGCAUGAUUGGAGAGAAGGCAGUGAACAGCACGCGUUUAUCGAGAAAUGUCUUGCAUCAGCAGACAGGAAAAACCAACCGUGGCUAAUAUUUGCUGCUCACCGUGUGCUCAGUUACUCGUCAGAUUAUUAUUAUGCAUUAGUGGGCUCAUUUGAAGAGCCCGAAGGAAGAGAGAGUUUGCAGAAGCUAUGGCAGAAAUACAAAGUGGACAUUGCAUUUUACGGUCAUGUCCAUAACUAUGAACCAUCUUGCCCGGUUUAUGAGUAACAAUGUGUGAACUCUGAGAAAUCUCACUAUUCUGGCACAGUGAACGGGACAAUCUAUGUUGUGGUGGGUGGGGCGGGGGCCGACUUGUCGAAAUUUAGUGACAUUAAUAUUACUUGGAGCAGAGAUGGGAAGGUGUAUGAUUCAUUCACCAUCUGCUUUACCAAUCAUGUGAUGCUUUAUUACUUUCAAUGCCAAUCUGGUUUACCAAUCAUGUGAUGAGGUCCAGAUUGUACUUGUUUGUUUCUCUAGGAGUCUCUUUCUAAAGUGAGUGUUUGUUAUUAAAAUCCUUGAAGUUUCAAUUGGUUUUCUUUUCAUUUGGUUUCUUUAACCUUUGCUGUAAGCAAAGUGUAGCUGGAAUCAUUUGGCUGUAUCAGUUUACUAUGCAAAGUAUAGUCUUUUAGAUCCAGCAUUAAUAUGUAAUGGAUGCUUCAGUUCUGUUUGAAACUAUUUAAUAGUGCAUGAUGCUUCAUUCUCCCUU